UUUGUUCCUCAAUUAUAUAUGAUUAUUUUCUUCUCCUUUUUGAAUAUAUGUCACUUUUGAAAUAAGAAAUAAUGUUAUUAACAUUUUACUUUUUUAAAGACACAGGAACCAAAAGUAUAUCAUUGUGAUUCUGGCACCUAGCACAAUUCCUCACAUGUAGAAGUUCUUUGCAAAGAACAAAGUGGUAGUAGCAGGAAGCCCAAAUGGAGGAGAAACUCACAGCAAACUCUAUACAACUGUCUAACCUCCUUCGUGUCAAUUUGGCUGUUAUUUUCACCAUUGGCCAAACCACACCGCUGCACUAGCCUCAUUUUCUGGAUCCCUCAGGCUUCUGCAAUCCCUCUGGACUCAAAAGGUUUUGGGAAAACAAAAAUAGAACUGAUUGACGGUAAAGCAGAGCCCCUGAGAAGCCAGCUCACAAAUGCUGUUAACCAGAGCCACUAUUCCAGAGACCACAUUGUGCCGAGAUUCAUGGUUUGCUGGGUAGAAGGAAAAGCACCCAGUAAUUGGCUGUGGCCACAAAGGUCAACCACAUGAACACCCAGCAAGUCAGGCAUGAUAAAAAGCCAUUGAAGGCCUGGAGAGAAAAAAGCUGUGGUGGUAAGUGGUGCUGGAUGUGAUUAGAGGUGGGGACAGGAGUUAUGAGCAGCAGACACUCUGCAGGGGAGAAGCAAGUUGUUGAUAAAGUGAGAGAAGAUACCAGCUCUAUGGUCUGUAGGGGUGGUAAUAGCGGUCUCUCUCUCUCUCCCUGUCUUUCUUUCUCUCUCUCUCUCUCUCAAUGGGUAUGGCCCUUAGGAAUGAAGAAGACUCUGGGGAAAGCAGCAA
ensembl:lincRNA